rnacentral:rRNA from 1 species
UGGGGAAUUUUGGACAAUGGGCGCAAGCCUGAUCCAGCAAUGCCGCGUGCAGGAUGAAGGCCUUCGGGUUGUAAACUGCUUUUGUACGGAACGAAAAGGCUCUGGCUAAUACCUGGGGCACACGACGGUACCGUAAGAAUAAGCACCGGCUAACUACGUGCCAGCAGCCGCGGUAAUACGUAGGGUGCGAGCGUUAAUCGGAAUUACUGGGCGUAAAGCGUGCGCAGGCGGUUUUGUAAGACAGAGGUGAAAUCCCCGGGCUCAACCUGGGAACUGCCUUUGUGACUGCAAGGCUGGAGUGCGGCAGAGGGGGAUGGAAUUCCGCGUGUAGCAGUGAAAUGCGUAGAUAUGCGGAGGAACACCGAUGGCGAAGGCAAUCCCCUGGGCCUGCACUGACGCUCAUGCACGAAAGCGUGGGGAGCAAACAGGAUUAGAUACCCUGGUAGUCCACGCCCUAAACGAUGUCAACUGGCUUGUUGGGUCUUAAUUGACUCAGUAACGAAGCUAACGCGUGAAGUUGGACCGCCUGGGGGAGUACGGCCGCAAGGUUGAAACUCAAAUGAAUUGACGGGGUCAUAGCUGUUUCCU